rnacentral:lncRNA from 1 species
UGAUCUUUUUUAAAAAUGUAAAUCACUCCCUGCUUAAAAUCUUCUAGUGCCUCCUCAUCGCUCUUAAGAAUAAAAUCCAAAUUCCUUACCAGAGCCUAUGAGACCGUGAAGGAUAUGCCUCUUGGCUCCCUCUGUGACCUCAUCUCCCCCUUGCUCAUCGCAAUUCUGCCAUGUUUGUCUUCUCUUUGCUCUCCCAGGACUCUGAGCAGGGUCCUGCCUCAGGACCUUUGCACCAUCUAUUUCUGAACACUCUGCUCUCUGUGUAUUUCCUUGGCUGAUUUCUGCCAUUUGGGUUUCAGCUCAGAUAUCACCUCCUCCAGUAGGCCUUUUGGGACUUGUCCACCCCUCUUUCCCCCAUGCCCUGUUUUCUUUCUCACAUGGCUGUGGCAGUCAGCUUUCUUAGCGGCAAUAUGGACUCCAGCAAACGAACUCUGGCAGAUACAUGGGUAGUGCAGGGGAACAAGCUCUUAUCCACAGCUAGAUGCCCUGGCGGCUCUUCUGCCCCUUACUGGCUGCAGGGCGUGAGACAAGCAUCUUAAUCUCUCCAGUCCUUGGAACAUGGAAACCAGACCAUGUCUUUCCUCUGCUCAAAGCCUUUUAAGGGCUUCCCAUCCCAGGCAGAGAAAAAGCCACGUUCCUUUCUAUGCCCUGAAAAGCCAUCCAACUGGACCCAUUCCUUGCCCGACCUCUCCUCCCACUCCACCCCCCACUGGCUCUGCUCCAGCCACUUCUGCCCUUGCUGUUCCUUGAGCAGCCAGGACUGUGGCUGCCUCCAGGCCUUUGCACUUGCUGCUUUCUGUCUCUGGAAUGCUCUUCCUCCAACACCCACGUGGCUUUUAAGCUUUCAUUCAAGCAUUACCAUCUCAGCGAGACCUUCACUAGUUGCCCUAUUAAAAAUCGCAACCCCACCUCCUCCCCAACCCAUAUCCCUUUCCCCUCAUUGAUUUCUCCCCUUAGCACUCAUCAGCUUGUCACAUACUGUCAUUUGCUUAUUUGCUGGUUUAUUGUCUGUCUCCCUCCACCACAAUGACGGCUCCAUGAGAAAUGAUUUCUGUUUUGUCCGUGAUACGUUCUAGCAUCUAGGAUGCAGGCACAUGGUGGGCAGAUCUGCUGAAUGAAUGAGUGAAUAAGGUUCGGUUCCUUUAUUCCUCUUCUUUGCAGUGGAUAGUCAGAGUCCCUUCCUGAUAUCAGGGUACUGAGUAUGGGGUGAGACUCAGGCAUUAGAGUCCAGCACACUGCCCGCCAGUGCUGGCCAUCUCUGCUCCCAUCCCUGCUCAGCUCGCAUGCUUGGCUUCCCACCCAAGACAAGCAGCCCAGGAAACAGAUUCGAUCAAUGCUCUUCACCUUGAGCAUCUCGAGGGCUGUGCUUGACGAAGUCUUAAAGCCAAUAAAUAUCAGCAGCUAAGCUCUCUCUGCUAGACGGUCAGUGCAGAGGCAGCAGUGGCCACACUUAGGCAGCCGCUGGGGAGAGGACAAGGACAGUCAGCUUUAGAAGGAAGGACACAACUGACCCCGGCUUGCUGGCAGAUGAGGUGGGCUGAAGAGCUGGUGAAAACAGAGGCUCCCAGUUCCGUGUGUAAGAACAUGCAGGCUCAGUCAUACUGCAAGGGCCUGAGUCUUGGGUCUGUUGUAUCUGUGUGAUACUGGGUGUGCUGGUUAAUUGUAUGAGUCAACUUGGCCGGGCCAUAGUGCCCAGAGAUAUGGUCAGCAUGAUUCUGGAUGCUUCUGUGAGGGUGUUUUUGGAUGAGAUUAACAUCUAAGUUGGUGGACUUGAGCAGAGCAGGUUGCCCUCCAUAAUGUGGGUGGGCCUCGUCCAAUCAGUUGAAAGCCUGAACAGCAGAAAAAACUGACCUCCCCUAAGCAAGUGGGAUUUUGUCCACAGAUGGCCUUUAGGCUGGAGCUGCAGCCUCAGCUUUCCUCUGGGUCUCUAGCCUUCCUGCUUGCCCUGCAAAUUUUGGACUUCUUAGCCUCCUUAAAGUAAAUCUCUAUCAAUAUACCAGUGGCCCUCUGUAUCCAUGGUUCCGGAUCUGUGGAUUCAACCAACUGCAGAUCAAAAAUUUAGUUAAACCCAUGAAAGUUGUGUACAGCCUUUUUCCUUGUCGUGAUUCCCCAGACAAUACAUGUAACAAGUACUUAUAUAGCAUUUACACUGUAUUAUGUAUCAUAGGUAAACUAGAGAUGACUUAAAGCAGUGGUCCUCAACCUUUUUGGCACCAGGGACCGGUUGCAUGAAAGACAAUUUUUCCAUGAACUGGCAGGAGCGUGGUUUCAGGAUGAUUCAAACCAUUAUAUUUAUUGUGCACUUUAUUUCUAUUAUUAUUACAUUGUAAUAUAUAAUGAAAUAAUUAUACAUCUCACCAUAAUGUAGAUCAGUGGGAGCUCCAAGCUUGUCUUCCUGCAACUAGAUGGUCCCAUUUGGAGGUGAUGGGAGACAGUGACAGAUCAUCAGGCAUUGGAUUUUCAAAAGGAGCACGCAACCUAGAUCCCUCGCAUGUGCAGUUCACAGUAGGGUUUGUGCUCCUAAGAUAAUCUAAUGCCGCCACUGAUCUGACAGCAGGCAGAGCUCACACAGUAAUGCGAGCAAGCAAUGGGGAGCGGCUGUCAAUACAGAUGAAACUUCGCUCACUCACACAGCACUUAGCUCACUCACCUCCUGUUGUAUGGCCCAGUUCCUAACAGGCCAUAGGCCGGAUGGGUUUGUGGCCUAGGGGUUGGAGACCCCUGACUUAAAGUACAUAGGAGGAUGUGCUGUAGGUUAUAUGCAAAUACCACACCAUUUUAUUAUAUCUGCGAGGGGUCCUGGAACCAAUCUCCUGAAACCAAGGGAGGACCAUAUAUACACAUUCUAUUGGUUCUGUUUCCCUGGAGCGCCCUGGGUAAUACAAGGGAAGUCUUUUCAUGCCUUAGUGAACCUGGGACUCAGUUCGCUUGUCACUGGUGCAGCCUCCAGAGCCAGCUGAUGUAGGCCGCCACUCCCUCAAUGGCUCCUGGCCUUGGGCACAUAACUGAACCCCUACAUGCUCCAGGCUCCUCUGCAAAGUUGGGAGGGUAAUAACAGUAAUAACCACCCUCAGAGUGUUAUUGUGAGAAUUAAAUGCAUUUGUGCCCAUGAGUGCUGAAGGCUAGAGAUGCACUGGUCUUUACUAUCAGGACAUGAGGACUGAGAAAAUCCAUGCAACUGCUCAGCAUGGUAAGUAGCUUGCUAGGUGAGUGUGGCUCACACCAAGUUCUCAGCACCUGUUAGAUGAUACUAUUAACACAAUAUUUAUUUGUAAAUUACUGAAACCUUAUUCACCAGGUAAGUAUGAAUUGAACCCAGACCUACAAAAGCUUAAAAUACUUGAGGAACAAUAGUUUACCUUAUGAGGUAGUCAGCUGUCUGGUAACCUCAAUCAGCUAAAAUUUGCUGGCAAAUUCAGGAAUUGAAAAAUCCUAGAGAUUUGUCAGAGGGUACAAACUUGCAGUCAUGUAGGAUGAAUAAGUCUAACCUAAUGCACAGCAGGAGGACUAUGGUUCAUAAUAUUGUAUUGUAUGCUGAACAUUUGGUAAGAGACUGGAUUUUAUGUGUUCUUACCACACACACACACACACGCGGUAACUGUGUGAGGAGAUUCAUAUGUUAGUUUGUUUGACUGUAGUUGUCAUUUCACCAUGUGUAUCACAACAUCAUGCUGUAUACCUUAAAUAGAUACAAUAAUAAAUAAACAACUAUCCUAGAGAGAUAAGGGGUAAGCAUUAUACAAAGCCACACACGCAAUUUCGUGGAAAGGUUCAUGGGAUCCUCCUUAGGCCCCAUGGCCCCUUGAGCCUGCAGGCACAAUGUCUGUUGUAAAGGAAGCAUUGAAGAAUGGCCUACCUUGAAACCCCUUGGGAUUUUACGCUCAAUUUUGGAAGCCUGGCAUCCAUCCGAGUGCCCCUACAGACACAGGAGCGAGACAGAUGAGGAUGAAAAUAUCACACUAAAAGGCUGAAUUGACCCAUGUACCUGAGGUGGGUAGCCAUAUGGGAUUCCUCCUACUUUACCCCCUGAAUGAGGUAGCCUCAUUCUCCCAGUCACAUGUACCAUUGACCAGCAUAGAUUUCUGAAAGGGAUGGCUGAGAGGAGUGUGCCCCAUUCAGCAAGGAGGCAGAGGCUACAGAUGGCUCUCAAAAUCUCUCCCGGAGAGUGGAAUGGAAAUUCUCGGCCUCCGUGGAAACAUGAGGGGUAAGCUAUAUAUAUAUCCUUGUACGACUAGUAAGUUAUGCCUACAUUAAAUUUGGUUUGGAAGUGUGUAACAAAAGUAGUGAGUCUGGAUGGGUAUAUUAACACCAACAUCAUCAACAACAACAUCAACAUUAGUAACGUCAACAACAUUAUCACAUCAACAAUAGCAGCACAGCAGUAGUGCCAACAGCAGCAACAACGACAAUAGAAUAACAUCUCAGCAACAAGAAUAAAAAUAGCAACAAUAGCACUGUCAACCACAUCAGCAAGAACAUUAACAGUAACAACGCCAACAGCAUCAUCACAACAUCCGCAGUAGCAGCAUCAACAGCAUCAUCACAACACCCGCAGUAAUGUCAACAGUAUCAUCACAACACCCACAGUAACAAUGCCAACAGCAGCAUCACAACAUCUACAGAAACAGUGUCUAGAGCAUCAUCACUACUUCCAUAGUUACAACAUCAACAGCGAUAUAACAGUAUCAAGAAACAACAUCAGCAGCAUCAUCACAACACCUGUAGUAAUAGUGUCAAUAGCCUCAUCGUGACACGGCACCCACAGUAAUAGUGUCAACAGCACAUCACUGUGCCCAUAGUAACAUCAUCACAACAUCCACAGCAACAACAUCAUCACAGCAUCCACAGUGACACUGUCAACAGCAUCAUUGCAACAUCCACAGUGACAAUGUCAACAGCAUCAUCACAGCAACAGUAGCAGCACAUCAGCAGCAACAACUGCCACAAAAUGGCAACAACAGCGGUAUCAAAAAUAAUCAGAACAGUAGUGAAAACACUGUCACCAACAACAGCAAAAACAUCAGCAACCACAUAAUCUGCAGAAACAGCAGCAAAAAUAGCAAGAGCAGUAGCAGCAGCAGCAGUAACAAUAACAAAAACAGCAGCAACACCAUCAACAGCAAUAACAAGGCUAGGUAGCAUUUAUAGAGUGCUUGUCUGACACCAGUCUCCAGGCUAAGUGCUGAACAUGCAUGAUCUCAUUUAACCCUCACAGGAUUUAUCUUAAACACUGGAAUAGAGAGAGACUGUAGAUAAAAUUAUGCCCAUGAGAUAGGUGUAAUCCAGUAAAAAAGGACUCAGUUGUUUAGCUGGGUAGGUCUGGGUUCUAAUCCAGAUUCUUUUAUUAUCUAAGCAACCUCAGGCAAACUCUUUAACCUUCCUGCAUUUCAAUUUGUCAUCUCCA